CCUACGGGAGGCAGCAGUGAGGAAUAUUGGUCAAUGGGCGGGAGCCUGAACCAGCCAAGUCGCGUGAGGGAAGACGGUCCCAUGGAUCGUAAACUUCUUUAGUCGGGGAGCAAAGCCGGGCACGCGUGCCCGGAGGGAGAUUACCCGCAGAAUAAGCAUCGGCUAACUCCGUGCCAGCAGCCGCGGCAUUACGGAGUAUGGUAGCGUUAGCCGGAUUUAUGGGGUUUAAAGGGUGCGUAGGUGUAUUUUUAAGUCAGCGGUAAAAUGUCCGGGCUCAACCCGGGCCGGCCGUUGAAACGGGGGUUCUUGAGUGGGCGAGAAGUGUGCGGAAUGCGUGGUGUAGCGGUGAAAUGCAGAGAUAUCACGCAGAACUCCGAUUGCGAAGGCAGCAUACCGGCGCCCGACUGACGCUGAGGCACGAAAGCGUGGGGAUCGAACAGGAUUAGAUACCCGAGUAGUC
rnacentral:rRNA from 1 species